rnacentral:rRNA from 1 species
UACGAAGGGGGCUAGCGUUGCUCGGAAUUACUGGGCGUAAAGGGCGCGUAGGCGGCGCAUUUAGUCAGGCGUGAAAUUCCUGGGCUUAACCUGGGGACUGCGCUUGAGACGGGUGCGCUAGAGGACGGAGGAGGCUCGCGGAAUUCCCAGUGUAGAGGUGAAAUUCGUAGAUAUUGGGAAGAACACCGGUGGCGAAGGCGGCGAGCUGGUCCGUAUCUGACGCUGAGGCGCGACAGCGUGGGGAGCAAACAGG